rnacentral:rRNA from 1 species
UACGGAGGGUCCGAGCGUUAUCCGGAAUCAUUGGGUUUAAAGGGUCCGCAGGCGGGCCAGUAAGUCAGGGGUGAAAGUUUGCAGCUCAACUGUAAAAUUGCCUUUGAUACUGCUGGUCUUGAGUUACGGUGAAGUGGCCGGAAUAUGUGGUGUAGCGGUGAAAUGCAUAGAUAUCACAUAGAACACCGAUUGCGAAGGCAGGUCACUAACCGCCAACUGACGCUGAUGGACGAAAGCGUGGGGAGCGAACGGG